rnacentral:rRNA from 1 species
UACGGAGGAUGCAAGCGUUAUCCGGAAUGAUUGGGCGUAAAGCGUCCGCAGGUGGCUAUGUAAGUCUGCUGUUAAAGAGUCUAGCUCAACUAGAUAAGAGCAGUGGAAACUACAAGGCUAGAGUACGUUCGGGGCAGAGGGAAUUCCUGGUGUAGCGGUGAAAUGCGUAGAGAUCAGGAAGAACACCAGUGGCGAAGGCGCUCUGCUGGACUGCAACUGACACUCAGGGACGAAAGCUAGGGGAGCGAAUGGG